CAACAAUCUCAUCUCACAGCAGACGACGGACAUCUGAAACCAGUGUGAGAACAAUGGACAGCAAGAUCACUACAGCGGACGGUACCAUUGUCAGCACUGGAGCGAAGGCUCAAGGAGACGCAGCACCCAACCCAUCUCAUGGGGAUGUCGCAGGACAAGAAAAGAUGUCCAACCUUAAAGGUGGAGUGAAAGGCAACGUAGUUCAUGGCGAUCAGAAAAUUAUCUCUAAUGUUAACAUGGGAGCAGUUUCAGGGGAUGCUAACAUCGGCUGAGGACAUUGCUGCCCUGCAGAUGAAAAAACAACAACUAUUUGUUUCAUUGUCAGAUAUUUGAAAUGUCCUUAAACACAGUAUUGUAAAAAAAGUUCAAUUCCAAAAAUAAAGUCUAC